rnacentral:rRNA from 1 species
GACAGAGGGUGCAAACGUUGUUCGGAAUUACUGGGCGUAAAGCGUGUGUAGGCUGCUACAUAAGUCAGAUGUGAAAGCCCCGGGCUCAACCCGGGAAGUGCACUCGAUACUGCGUAGCUUGAGUCUCGGAGAGGUUGGUGGAAUUCUCGGUGUAGAGGUGAAAUUCGUAGAUAUCGAGAGGAACACCGGUGGCGAAGGCGGCCAACUGGACGAAGACUGACGCUGAGACACGAAAGCGUGGGGAGCAAACAGG